GAGAUGAAGAACCGAACCCAGGAAAAGUUGAACGUAAAACUGUGCAUAAGGCAGUAUGUGAAUUAGCGAGACAGAGGGCUUCUAGGGCCAGCGUCAUAAUAGUUGGACAACUGGGAACUGGAAAAACACGCCUUUGCCGAAAUCUGCUGGGGGAAGAGUUCACUGAAGAAGAUCUGGUGACGAAUGGUAUUGAGGUGUCCGGUUGUGUUCUGGAGAAACACACAGCAGGA